AAUCAACGCUGGCGGCGUGCCUAACACAUGCAAGUCGAACGCGAAAGCCCCUUCGGGGGCAAGUAGAGUGGCGUCCGGGUGAGUAACACGUGGGUAAUCUACCUCCGGGUGGGGAAUAACUCGCCGAAAGGCGGGCUAAUACCGCAUAAUGCAGCGGCACCGAAUGGUGAUUAGUUGUUAAAGCGGGGGACCUUAGGGCCUCGCGUCUGGAGAGGAGCCUGCGGCAGAUUAGCUUGUUGGUAGGGAAUGGCCUACCAAGGCUGCGAUCUGUAGCUGGUCUGAGAGGACGGCCAGCCACACUGGCACUGACACACGGGCCAGACUCCUACGGGAGGCAGCAGUGGGGAAUUUUGGGCAAUGGGCGAAAGCCUGACCCAGCAACGCCGCGUGAAGGAGGAAAUCCUCGGGAUGUAAACUUCACAAGCAAGGGAAGAGCGCGCAGGGUACGAAUAAACUCUGCGUCCGACGGUACCUUGCGUAAGCCACGGCUAACUACGUGCCAGCCGCCGCCGU
rnacentral:rRNA from 1 species